GUACACGCUGUGACUAGCAUAUCAAUAAGCGGAGGAAAAGAAACUAACAAGGAUUCCCCUCAGUAACGGCGAGUGAAGCGGGAAGAGCUCAAAUUUGAAAUCUUAAAGGGUUCCCUUUCACGAAUUGUAGUUUAAAGAAGUGUUUUCUGUUACGAGUCUGGUAUAUAAGUUCUUUGGAAUAGGACAUCACAGAGGGUGAGAAUCCCGUCUAUGAUUGCCAUUAUUUAGCUUUGUGAUACACUUUCAAAGAGUCGGAUUGUUUGGGAAUGCAGUCCAAAAUGGGUGGUAAAUUUCAUCUAAAGCUAAAUAUUGGCGAGAGACCGAUAGCGAACAAGUACCGUGAGGGAAAGAUGAAAAGAACUUUGAAAAGAGAGUUAAACAGUACGUGAAAUUGUCAAAGGGAAGCGUUUGACACCAGUGUUGUUUUUCUGAAAAUCAAUUAAAGAACUGUUUAUGCUAAGCUGUUUAGACUUUAUCAGCUAAUCUGUUUAGUUUUGAGCUUUUCUUUAAUGCACUUUUCAGUUAACAAGUCAACAUCAAUUUCUUUUGCUGUAAAAAAGCUUGAGGAAGGUGGCUUGAGAUUCGUCUUAAGUGUUUAUAGCCUCUUGCCUAUGCAGUCGGAGAGAUUGAGGUCUGCAGCGUAGAUCCUUCGGGGCUAAAUGCAUUUGUGCUAAGUUAUAGCAUUUUAUAGACAACUUGUUGACUAUGAUUUGUCUUGUAGCUUACUCGCUUAUGUUAUUUUACCUACGCUUAGGAUGUUGACGCAUGAGAUAUACGC
rnacentral:rRNA from 1 species